GGAAGAAAACAAAGAAAGAAAAGAAAGAAAGAAAGAAAGAAAGAAAACAAAGAAAGGAAAGAAAGAAAAAAAAAGAAAGAAAGAAGGAAAGAAAGAAAGAGGGAGGGAGGGAGAGAGGGAGAGAGGGAAGGAAGGAAGGAGAGAGAGAGAGAGACAGAAAGAAAGAAAGAAAGAAAGAGAAAGAAAGAGAGAAAGAAAGAAAGAAAGAAAGAGAUUGGUUUGAAACAUUGGGAGCUGAGCUUAAUGAGAAAAGGCCAUUCCUAACUGCUAAGCUACCGUAUUAAACAGUGGCAAGUACCUUGGAAAAUAAAACAGAAACCACUGCCCAUCUUUUUCUAACGGAGAAAGACAAGAGAUGGCUUGACCAGAGUGGAGAUUUAGAACUUCAGGUGCUGAUAAAUAUGGUAACAUCAUGGGGUGCUUUGGCAGCUGGAUAGAUUUUAUUUAUUCAGGGCUCCUUUAAGCCAGAGGAGAUUCCUGGAGGCUGCUAAAAUAGAAUGCUCCACCUGGAUAGUUAACAUCUGGAUUUUAUUUUGUUUCAAAAAGUUAAUUACAAAUAGUUCGAAUUCCUUCUGGUAUCCCUCUGAGAAGAGUUUCUUACUGGGUGGCUCACAAGCGGGGAGACAGAAAGGGAAAAAAACUAGAUUGAUAUUGCUCAGGAGAAACAGGAUUGUGGCUACACGUGAGCCAUGUAUGCAAUUUUGAAUUUUCCCAUAGUCAUGUUUAAAAAAACGAGGAAAAAGUGAAAUUAAUUUUAAUACUAAACCCAAUAUGUAUAAAAUAUGACCAUUUCAAUAUGUAAUCAAUUUUACACUUAUUAAUAAGAUCUUAAUAUUUUUAAAAUUAAGUUUUUGACAUCCAUUAUGUAUUUUACACUCAUAGCAUAUCUCAGUUUGGACUAGUUGCGUUUCAGCUACCUGUGGUUAGUGGCCGCCAUGUUAAUACUACAGCACAGGUCAAGAUAACAUUUGCAAAGGCAAGGCAUCUUCCCCUCCCCAUUUCUAGUUUCAUGAACUGUGCACAGGGAUAUGGGGCUGUUCGAGGUACUUUUGGGCUGACCAAGGCUCAGAGGCUACUGACAGCUUUGCUGCAAGUAACUUCUAGGCCUUGUGGGUCCCAGUGCAGGGAACCCAUGUGCGGUGACACUGGAGAAGCCAUCUGAUCCAGGUCUCUCACUUGACAGAUGGGGAAACUGAGGUCCAAAGAGGUACAGCAGCUUGGUUUAAGAGAUAGAGAUGGAACUGGAACAAAAAUAAUAACCAUUUGAUAAUAUUUUAACAUUUAUUGAUUUGUUUUUAUAUGCCAAGACCUUUUAAAGCAUUAUCUCCUUUAAACUCUCAUAACCACUCAUUGAGGUAGGCACUCCUAUUUCUACUUUGCAGAUGAAAAAAAUUGGGACUUAAGAGGAAUUAAAUAUGAAAGCAGCUACUAUUUGUUGACAGCUAUUUUAAGAUCUUUAUAUACAUAUAUACAUGUAAUAAAUUCUAUUCUUUACUAUAAACAUACAUGUCAGAAAUUAUUAGUGUUAUCAUCCUUGUCCUCCUCAUUCCACUUUGCAGAUGAAAAUACUGAAGCUGAGAGAGACUAGGUAACUUACCUAGUAUGUACCUACAUAGUGAAGCCAGAUUUGAGCCGGACCUCCUGACUCCAGAGUCCGAGCAAUCUCACCAAUUCUGCCCACGGUCACCCCACUGCAUGAUGGCAGAGCUAGUAUUUGAGCAGGUGUGUCUGUUCUGUGGUCUGUGGUCUUCACCGCCCCACUAGACAGCCUGGAUUUUUCUGCUCUUGAGUCUCAACACUUUCUGCCUUACUGUGCCACUAGUAAGGAACAGAACAGGGAGGUUUUUGACCCCAGCACUGAUUGAAGGGCCCAGGCAAAGCAGGCUCGUCUCCUCUGGCUUGGCUGGUUCCCAGGCUGCCCUAACCCAUGAAGCCAGAUUCUUGGCCAAGUUAAGCAGGGUGGGAAGAACACUUGUCCAUUCCGCCUUCCCAGUUGGGCGAGGUCAGUGUACCAGGUUGGAAAGUGGUAUGUGUCUAAUUGCAGGGGCGGGGGUAGGGGGGAGGCCAGAGGAUUAACACUCUUUAAAUAGACAUCAGAAAACUAAGAAUAGCCUUGCUGCCUGGUAAUUGAUGGGCAUUCCUGACUACGGGCCACACACUCAGUAGGUGCUCGAUAAACAUGGGUGAAAUACAGGAAUAAACAAAUACUGAAAAUGGGUCAUUGGGUGAGCACUUAGCCAGUAAAAAUCUGUGCUUUGUAUAAAAAGAACUUUGGACUGAGGUUAUAUGAGUCUUCCUGCAGGCUGGAGACCUCUGUUACCUUUACUUCUCUACUUUUGUUGUCUUGAGACCAGCUUUUUUAUUUUUGGUGAGGAGAACAGCAGGCAGUUCAAAUGUCAGGGAAAGACAAGUUCAGCUUGCUUUUUCCUUAUUUCUGUCUUGUUACCUGCUAUCCUGCCAGGUUAGAAAGAUGGAAUCACUCCCUUUUGCCCUAUCAUCAAGACUUCAGUGUUCCCUGGAGCACUCUAAAUUUGCCAUCAGACUUGGAUCAUCCUCUAAUACCAAGCUCCUGGGUCCUUCCUGAAGGCUGCCUCCUUGUCUUGCUGAGAAGAAUUAAGGUCGCUUCCCUGGGAGGAAUUCAGCAGCACCUCUUGUAAGUCAUCAGGUGUGCUGUAAGGAUGGGGCAGGCAACAUUUCUUUGUACUGUGGGAAGGCCUAAAUCAGUGUUUCUCAAGGUGUGAUCCUUGCACCACCAAUCUUAAGAAAUGUUCUUUGGAGCCGGGCACAGCGGCUCACGCAUAUAACCCCACCUUGGGAGGCUGAGGCGAGAGGAUCGCUUGAGCCCAGGAAUUGAAGACCAGUCUGGGUCACAUAGUAAGAUUCCCUGUCUCUACUAAUUUAAAAAAAAAAAAAAGAAAAGGUGGUUGGGCCUGUAGUCCCAGUUACUCUUGAGGCUUAGGUGGGAGAAUCGCUUGAGUCCACGAGGUUGAGGCUGCAGUGAGCCAUGAUUGUACCACUGCACUCCAGCCAGGGUGACAGAGCAAGACUCUAUCUCAAAAAAAAAAAAAUGUUAUUUGGGAGAGCUGUUUAUUGUAUUCCCCUCUUGGAGAGACAUGUGGCUAUUAGCAUAGUAAAAGCUCUGAGAAGUCCUGCUGCAUGGUGACCUGUUUAGCUCUGUUUAAUCCAGUGUUCUCUGAACAUAUCUAGCCAAGGAACUAAUUUUCCCAAGAAGCACCUACAAAUGCAGUUGGUGAGACACUGCCCAGAUGAGGAUUCUGAAAACCCCUUUUGCCCACUUGCCUGCCAUUGUGAUUGCUGAGUAGGGAAGAAGAAAUUAGGAAGUAUCAUCUGCAUUACACAGGGAAGCUGCUCUCCUAGGGUUGCCAAACAGAAAUGGCUGUAGUGGUGCCAGUGGGUGCUUUGUAGGGACCAGAAGAAAAAGGAGGAAGGGAAGGCUGACCUUCAAGGUCACACAUUUGCCAGAUUUAAAGUUCCUUCCUGUGGUCAUGACUUGUUUUAUAAUCUUGCUUGGCUCAGUUCUGGGCACACAUCAGAUUUUUAAAUCCUAGGAUCUUGUUUAUACCGUUAAGGACAUGAUUGAAGGACAUUGUGGUGAGUGUGAAGGUGAGAUGUUUCUGAUUGAAGGUCCAUGGGGCAGGCACCCUGCGAGCAGGUAAUGAACAGUAGGGGACAUACCGGUGCAACCCCACCCUGGUCCCCUGGUCGUCUGGGCCAGAUCUCUCCCCUCUCUGUUCUAUACUUCUCUUACAUCACCGUCCUACCUAAUCAUUUUACCGAUAGGAGCACCUUUGGGAUUCUGAUUAAAGCUAUGCAUACAAAUUUCAAGAGCUUCAGAAAUUCUCCUAAAAGCUAUCUUGGAUCAUUAGAACACUUGCCCUAGAGUAUCACUGAGUCAAUAAUGGUGUUGAAACUAAACAGCAACAAAAUCCCCCCAAAAAGGUAACCUAACUUAGUCUGAAAUUGUCUGAAAAUUAAUGGCACUGCCAGUUCAGUGGCUGCUCAGAGCGUUUUGGUGAAGAAAUUGGCUGAUGGAUAUUUUGCAGUAGUCUACAGGAUUUGACGUGGGAUGCCAUCUUUAUGGACAUGGCUCUGCUGGGCAAAGCAAGGACGGGCACAUCCAGCCUAUGCGGUCCAUCAGGGGCACUCACAUUUAGAAUGGGGGAGUCUUAGUUAGCCCAGGGGCUGGGGGCAGCAUGGUAGUGUAGAAAAAGGGGCCAGUGCCUCCAGAAAAUGGGACCCCAGGCCUGGCUCUGCUCCUUCUGCUGUGUGAUUCUGGUUGAGUGGCCUUCCCUUUGAGUCCUCUGGAUGAAGUUAAGGAGAAGUCUUGGGUUCUCAAGUAGUCACUAUUCAGACUCUCGCUUUCAGAGUAUUUAAAGGAGGAAAGGAAACAGAAGGAUAGGGCUGGUGGACUUAAAAGGCCGUGUGUUUGCCGCCACCCCAUUUGCUCCCAGGGCUGGGUGUUUGUCUCCCCUCCGGCGCUGGGCCUCCUGCUUGGCCUCCAGCUCUUGCACCAUUAACUGCAGUCAGAAAAGCUGAUGUCACUGUGGCCGGCCUAGGGGGAAAGUCUCAGGAUAAAACUGCUUCCACCUGGAUCUGGAGAAGGGGAAGUGACUGGCAAGAGAUUCGCAGGUAGGGCUCAGAGACCAGGAGGAAUCCAGUCUGGGUAAGAAUUCCCUGUCAUGGGGCUCUGAAGCCACGGGCCAGGCAGGUAGUGGAUUUCAAGCCAGCCAGCGGGGUCACUUGGCCCCUGCAGCUACUCCUCGCCCCCUCCUGCAUAAUUUCCUAUUUCCUGCCUCCUCCUCCUCUGACACAGUUAUAAAUAACCUCGAGGCUGGCCUCUGCGCUUAAGUAUAGGUGAGCCAGAGGAAAGUGGAGGGGAUCAAGGUGGAGCUGGAUCUGCCACUUGGCCAGGGGGUCACAGGGUUUCAGAUUGCUCAGGGGAAUUUUGUUUUCUUGUUUUUUCCACUAGGGAGUGAGGUAGUGAAAGAGGAAAUAAGCUGUGUUGGCAUGGGGAGGCUUGGCCUUGCAGGCCGGUGCUGGGUUUCACCCGCAAGGAGCUGCCUCUCUGCUCACUGCAGAUCCCCAGGACCAAAGGUCUGGAAAGAGGCUUAGUGAGAAGGCAUCUCAGGACACAAAGAGGACACGAUGCCUUGCUGGUGAGGUCCUGCGGUCUCCUUCUCGAGGCCCAGCCCGGCCCCAUAUUGGAGGCCAAACAUGUAGAAGGGUGUAUCUCAUUUUUUACCUUUUUUUCUCAACCACCAGCCAACGAUGGGUAUGUGAUUUCUAAGGAUGUCCAUUGACUAUAAAGGUCCCAUUAAUACAUAUGCUAUGGACAGAUUCUCUCCUUGAACACAGGUUUAUGGAGCACCUACUAUAUUCCAGGUGCUGGGCAGAGUGCUAAGGUCACAAAAAUGAAUCAGCUGUGGCCUCUACAGCCUGUUCCCCUCUUGGCAUAGAUCUGCCCUUCCCCCUCCACAGUCUGGACAAUCAAGGACCUGGAGUAAGCACACUCUAGGGGCCGCGUCUCCCAGCAUAUCUUUUGUUUUCGAAAGUUCAAAAAACAGAAGAGGAGGAUUCUGAAACAGCAAACUUGCUGGGUCAUCCAUAGAGUAUAUUAACUGGCUAUCUUGCUAUCUGUCCAUAACUUGCUACCUGUCCAUAGUGUAUAUUAACUUCCUGGGAGCCCACUCACUGCCUGACUUCCUGUUCUGCGCAUGGGCCCAAGGGAAGUUCUCGCAACCAUAGUUUUCUGUGAUAUCCAUCCUACCACAUGGCUUCCUGGGAAACCCAUUAGCUUUUUUGUUUGUUUUAGAGCCCAAGGGAAUCAGGGCCUUGAGGGGAUUUUUUGGUGUGGGGGGUGGUGCAAGCUUCUAACACUGAGAGUGGGUGCUUUUCUGAUUCCUAUGAAGGUGGAGUGUAGGUGUCGUUCCUGGCUCAGCAGAGUCAGCCCUCUCAUCCUAUUCAGGCCGUCUCUGAGGCUGGCUCCUGUGCCCAAGCCCUUCCUCACUCCCUCAGGGCAUGAUCACAGGGCAUUUCCUUAGCAUUCCUCCUUUCUCCCCUGUGUGUGUGUGUGUGUGUGCGUGCGUGUGUGUGUGUGUGUGUGUGUGGUGUGUUCUACUCCGUGUGUGUGUCAUCCUCCUCUGCUCAUCCACCCAUUCCACUGCAGCACCUAGCAUCACCUAGGGGCCUGGAAAACCUGCACCUGAAAGCCGUAACUCCCCGGCACCUGGCUGGUUGACUUCUUCCCCCUUAACCCCAUUUACUUUGAGGAUGGAGGUAGUCUUUAGGGUCAGGCUGAGAUUUGUC
rnacentral:lncRNA from 1 species